AGAGACUUUUCUCUCUCUCUAAUCCUCUUCCUCUUUAUCUUUUUCUUUAACACAAGCUGGUCGUUUGCACAUGUGUGCUCCAACUUCAACGGACCCAUUAAGUUUGGACGAAGCGUUGAUGUAGCUUGCAAAAGACUUUGAGAAACCUGUUCAUGAUUCAACAAGGACGUCCUGCUAACCGAUCUUGACUAGCCAAAAGUCGGAGCUGAUUGAAGAACCAGUGCCAACACACGGCCAUCAUCUACCGCACGUCAAGCUUCGCUACGCAGAGACAGAAACAUGACCCGGCCGCACCGCGGGAGAUAACCAGCUGAUGAAACCGAGGUCCGACUGUCUUGCACCCAUCCAUCCACCCAUUUGAUGUCCGGGCCAACACAGUCACUCUCCUGCCAUCAGACGAUGAUCCAGGGGAAGGUGCUUCUGCAGCUGAUGAUGAGACGGUGGACUCCAGAAGGCCUGAGGAUCCAGACUGGAUACAGCUUAACAGCCAGCCUAGCAACAUACAAAAGGAGUCUCCAGGACCUGGACCUUGGCAUAGACAUCAAGAAGAAAAC